rnacentral:rRNA from 1 species
UACGUAGGUGACCAGCGUUGUCCGGAUUUACUGGGCGUAAAGAGCGCGCAGGCGGUCGUUCAAGUCGAGUGUGAAAGCCCCCGGCUCAACUGGGGAGGGUCACUUGAUACUGAUCGACUCGAAGGCAGGAGAGGGAAGCGGAAUUCCCGGUGUAGUGGUGAAAUGCGUAGAUAUCGGGAGGAACACCAGUGGCGAAGGCGGGUCUCUGGGCCGAUACUGACGCUGAGGAGCGAAAGCGUGGGGAGCGAACAGG